rnacentral:rRNA from 1 species
GACAGAGGUGCCGAGCGUCAGGCGGAAUCACUGGGCUUAAAGCGUGUGUAGGUGGAUGCCUAAGUACCUUGUGAAAUCCCACGGCUUAACCGUGGAACUGCUUGGUAUACUGGGUGUCUUGAGCCAGCUAGGGGCUACCGGAACAAAUGGUGGAGCGGUGAAAUGCGUAGAUAUCAUUUGGAACGCCAAUGGUGAAAACAGCUCGCUGGGGGUGCACUGACACUGAGACACGAAAGCCAGGGGAGCGAACGGG